GAUGAACGCUGGCGGCGUGCCUAACACAUGCAAGUCGAACGGAGUUAUGCAGAGGAAGUUUUCGGAUGGAAUCGGCGUAACUUAGUGGCGGACGGGUGAGUAACGCGUGGGAAACCUGCCCUGUACCGGGGGAUAACACUUAGAAAUAGGUGCUAAUACCGCAUAAGCGCACAGCUUCACAUGAGGCAGUGUGAAAAACUCCGGUGGUACAGGAUGGUCCCGCGUCUGAUUAGGUAGUUGGCGGGGUAACGGCCCACCAAGCCGACGAUCAGUAGCCGACCUGAGAGGGUGACCGGCCACAUUGGGACUGAGACACGGCCCAGACUCCUACGGGAGGCAGCAGUGGGGAAUAUUGCACAAUGGGGGAAACCCUGAUGCAGCGACGCCGCGUGAAGGAUGAAGUAUUUC
rnacentral:rRNA from 1 species